AUUGAACGCUGGCGGCAGGCCUAACACAUGCAAGUCGAACGAGUGGCGGACGGGUGAGUAAUGACUGGGAAACUGCCUGAAGGAGGGGGAUAACUACUGGAAAAGGUAGCUAAUACCGCAUACCAUCAGAUGUGCCCAGAUGGGAUUAGCUAGUUGGUGGGGUAACGGCUCACAAAGGAGCCGAUCCCUAGCUGGUCUGAGAGGAUGACCAGCCACACUGGAACUGAGACACGGUCCUGACUCCUACGGGAGGCAGCAGUGGGGAAGAUUGCACAAUGGGCUCAAGCCUGAUGCAGCCAUGCCGCGUGUAUGAAGAAGGCCGUCGGGUUGUAAAGUACUUUCAGCGGGGAGGCGUUACCCGCAGAAGAAGCACCGGCUAACUCCGUGCCAGCAGCCUCGGUAAUUC
rnacentral:rRNA from 1 species